UUAGGAAUUUUGGGCAAUGGGCGAAAGCCUGACCCAGCAACGCCGCGUGGGUGACGAAGGCCUUCGGGUCGUAAAGCCCUUUUCUGAGGGAAGAUAGUGACGGUACCUCAGGAAGAAGCACCGGCUAACUACGUGCCAGCAGCCGCGGUAAUACGUAGGGUGCGAGCGUUGCCCGGAUUUAUUGGGCGUAAAGGGCGCGUAGGUGGUUCUGUGUGCUCCGCGUGAAAUCGCCCGGCUCAACCGGGCGGGGUCGCGGAUGACUACAGGACUGGAGCCUGGGAGGGGGAAGCGGAAUUCCCGGUGUAGUGGUGGAAUGCGUAGAUAUCGGGAGGAACACCAGUGGCGAAGGCGGCUUCCUGGACCAGAGCUGACACUGAGGCGCGAAAGCGUGGGGAGCGAUCCGG
rnacentral:rRNA from 1 species